UACGGAGGGUGCAAGCGUUAAUCGGAAUUACUGGGCGUAAAGCGUGCGCAGGCGGUUUGUUAAGUCCGUUGUGAAAGCCCCGAGCUCAACUUGGGAAUUGCAGUGGAUACUGGCAGGCUGGAGUACGGUAGAGGAAGGUGGAAUUCCCGGUGUAGCAGUGAAAUGCGUAGAUAUCGGGAGGAACACCAGUGGCGAAGGCGGCCUUCUGGACCAGUACUGACGCUCAUGCACGAAAGCGUGGGGAGCGAACCGG
rnacentral:rRNA from 1 species